rnacentral:tRNA from 12 species
AGCGGAGAAGGCACAAGACUCGUAACCUCACGGUUCCGGGUUCGAGUCCCUGAU